rnacentral:tRNA from 1 species
GGGGCUGUAGCUCAGUUGAUAGAGCGCUACAUUCGCAUUGUAGAGGUCAGGGGUUUAAGUCCCCUCAGCUCCACCA